rnacentral:tRNA from 1 species
GGAAGUUGAUGAGGUCUGGUGGCCUUCUCGGUCUUCAAAACCGAUGUGAGCCUAAUAGGCUUUGGCAGGUUCGAUUCCUGCCUCUUCCGCCA